CGUGUAGGCGGAUAUGUAGGUCAGUUGUGAAAGCCCUCGGCUCAACCGAGGAAGUGCAUCUGAAACCAUAUAUCUUGAGUACGAGAGAGGAAAGUGGAAUUCCCAGUGUAGAGGUGAAAUUCAUAGAUAUUGGGAAGAACACCGGUGGCGAAGGCGGCUUUCUGGCUCGAUACUGACGCUGAGACGCGAAAGCGUGGGGAGCAAACAGGAUUAGAUACCCUGGUAGUCC
rnacentral:rRNA from 1 species